rnacentral:lncRNA from 1 species
UUGGGAUAGAUAUUUCUCUGGGAGAAAUUUGGAAUAUUCCUCUAGGCUAAGUUGGAGAUAUUUGGCAUAAAUUCAGGAUAUUUCACUGGGAUAAAUUUGGAAUAUUUCGCUGGGAUAAAUUUGGGAUAAUUGGGACUAAAUUUGGAAAAUUUGGGAUAUUUCACCGGGAUAAAUUUGGGAUAUUUUGCUGGGAUAAAUGUGGGAUUCAAUUUGGGACAAUUUGGAUUACAUUUGGAAAAUCUGGGAUAUUUGUGGGAUAUUUCACUGGGAUAAAUUUGGGAUAUUUCGCUGGGAUAAAUUUGGGAUAAUUGGGACUAAAUUUGGAAAAUUUGGGAUAUUUCACCAGGAUAAAUUUGGGAUAUUUUGCUGGGAUAAAUUUAGGAUAAUUUGGACUAAAUUUGGAACAUUUGGGAUAUUUCACUGGGAUAAAUUUGGGAUAUUUUGCUGGGAUAAAUGUGGGAUUCAAUUUGGGACAAUUUGGAUUACAUUUGGAAAAUCUGGGAUAUUUGUGGGAUAUUUCACUGGGAUAAAUUUGGGAUGUCUCUCAAUUUAUUGCAAUUUUGGGACGGGCCCCGAGCCUGCGGAAUUCCGAUGGAAAAACCCCCAAAAUCCCAAAAAAAAAUCUUGGAAGGAAAGGAAAAAGGGUUCAACCCCCCCCCAGGUGAAUUCCUUACUCACGGAAUUAUCCCGGGAGCGCUUCCAGGGAAUUUCAGGGAUUUUCCAGCAUUUCCAUGGGAACGGGAUCCCUAAAAAAGGGGAUUUUCCCCCAAAAGGCCGUCCGGGAUUUAUAGGGAGCCGGGAAUGCCGGGGCAGGCCGGGACAGGCCGGCUGGAACCGGUUUUACGGGAUACGGGAAAACUGGAAUUGCGGGAACGGCUCACCCGGGAUAACCCCGGAGCUGCCCCGGCUGGGAUGGACCCACGGGGUGGGAACGGGGAUUUGGGAUCAUAUCCGUGGGAUUGGGAUAUCCAUGGGAUUGGGAUCUCUGGGAUUCAGGGAUUUGGGAUAUCCAUGGGAUUGGGAUCUCUCAGAUCCCGGGAUUUGGAUCCCUGGAUGGGGAAUCCAUAGGGACUGGGAUCUCUGGGAUUCAGGGAUUUGGGAUAUCCAUGGGAUUGGGAUCUCUGGGAUUCAAGGAUUUGGGAUAUCUGUGGGAUUGGGAUCUCCGGGAUUCAAGGAUUUGGGAUAUCCAUGGGAUUGGGAUCUCUGGGAUCUCUCUGGGAUUCAGGGAUUUGGGAUAUCCGUGGGAUUGGGAUCUCAGGGAAAGGGGAUUUGGGGUAUCCAUAGGAUUGGGAUAUCCACGGGAUUGGGAUUUUGGGGGAAGAGAAUUUGGGAUAUCCAUGGGAUUGGGAUCUCCAGGAUUCAGGGAUUUGGGAUAUCCAUGGGAUUGGGAUCUCAGGGAUUCAAGGAUUUGGGAUAUCCAUGGGAUUGGGAUACCCAUGGGAUUGGGAUCUCAGGGAUUCAAGGAUUUGGGAUAUCCAUGGGAUUGGGAUAUCCACGGGAUUGGGAUUUUGGGGGAAGAGGAUUUGGGAUACCCAUGGGAUUGGGAUCUCAGGGAUUCAGGGAUUUGGGAUAUCCAUGGGAUUAGGAUCUCUGGGAUUCAGGGAUUUGGGAUAUCCAUAGGGAUUGGAUCUCGGGGAUUCAGGGAUUUGGGAUAUCCAUUGGGAUUGGGAUCUCUGGGAAAAGGGAUUUGGGAUAUCCAUGGGAUUGGGAUCUCUGGGAUCUCUCUGGGAUUCAGGGAUUUGGGAUAUCUAUGGAAUUGGGAUCUCUGGGAAAUGGGAUUUGGGAUACCCAUGGGAUUGGGAUCUCAGGGAUUCAAGGAUUUGGGAUAUCCAUGGGAUUGGGAUACCCAUGGGAUUCAAGGGUUUGGGAUAUCCAUGGGACUGGGAUCUCUGGGAUUCAGGGAUUUGGGAUAUCCAUGGGAUUGGGAUCUCACAGAUUCAGGGAUUUGGGAUAUUCAUGGGAUUGGGAUCUCGGGGAUCAGGGAUUUGGAUCCCUGGAUGGGGAAUCCAUAGGGAUUGGGAUCUCUGGGAUUCAGGGAUUUGGGGUAUCCAUGGGAUUGGGAUCUCGGGGAUCAGGGAUUUGGGAUCAGGGAUUGGGGAUCAAACCCGGCCCCACUCCUCUCCCUCAUCCCACAAAUCCCGUGGAUCCAAAUCCCAGAUUCCCCCCAGGCCGGGAAUUCCCGGGGCACUCCAUGGGAGCCAUUCCAGAGGGGAGGAAAGGGCGGCUCCAGCGCCAAAUUCCAGGUGUUCAAUGACCCCCAAUCCUUGGGAAAAAUUGGGAUAUUCCUUGGGAAAAGUUGGGAUAUUCCUCGGGAAAGCUGCUCCAAAACUUUCCAGGGAAUGACGGCAGGAAAAGGCAUCCCUGGAGUGGCUCCAGCCCCAGAAUUCCAUGGAUUUCUGCCCAAAUCCCGGUGUUUAACUCGAGAAUAAUCCCAAAUCCUCUGGAAAAAUUGGGAUAUUCCUUGGGAAAAGUGGGAAUGAUGCUGUUAAAGCCCCGGAAUUCCAUGGAUUUCUGCCCAAAUUCCAGUGUUUAAUUCAAACACAUUGCCAAAAAUCCUCUGGAAAAGUUUUCCUUAGGAAAAGUGGGAAUGAUGAUGUUAAUUUCCAUGGAUUUCUGUGAAAUUCCCAGUGUUUAAUCAGAGAAUAAUCCUAAACCCUCUGGAAAAUUGGGAUAUUUUGUGGGAAAGGUGGGAAUGAUGCCUUUAAAGCCCCAGAAUUCCAUGGAUUUCUGCCCAAAUCCCAGUGUUUAACUCAAGAAUAAUCCCAAAUCCUCUGGAAAAUUGGGAUUUUCCUUGGGAAAAGUGGGAAUGAUGCUGUUAAAGCCCUGGAAUUCCAUGGAUUUCUGCCCAAAUUCCGGUGUUUAGGUAAAGAACAAUCCCAAACCCUCUGGAAAAACGGGAAUAUUCUUGGGAAAGGUGGGAAUGACGCCAGAAUUCCAUGGAUUUCUGUGAAAAUCCCGGAGUUUAAUUAGAGAAUAAUCCCAAAUCCUCUGGAAAAAUUGGGAUAUUCCUGGGAAAAGGAUCCAGCAGGGGGCAGCCUCCCAUGCCGGGAAUUCCGGGAAAAUCCAGGAAUCUUUAUGGGAAUGCAGAACAUUAUGAUAAUUAUUAAUAAUUAUUAACACGGGUAAUUAAUAUUCAUGAUUAAUGUUAAUAAAUGUGCAGUAGAAAGUUCUGGAUGGAGCAGAAGGAUUAAUUCCAGUGGGUAUUUAAAUGAGGAAAUUUGAAUAUUAACAUAUUCAAAUAUUUAUACUAUAGAAAUAGAAAUUUUAAAAUAACUGUAAAGCUGGAAAGAUAAAUUUUAAAAUAAAUAGAAUUAUAAAUGUGAAUAUGAAUUUAAAUUGAAAGAGGGAUAUACAUAUAAAUCCAAAUAUAAAU